UAGACCUGUAUGAAAGGCAAAAUGAGGGUUUAGCUGUCUCUUAUAAUAAAUCAAUUAAACUGAUCUCCUAGUACAAAAGCUAGGAUUCCAACAUAAGACCAGAAGACCCUGUGAAGCUUAAACUAAACUAUUAAAACAUAUAAUAGCUACUUUCGGUUGGGGCGACCUUGGAAAAAAAAAGAACUUCCAAACACAAUGACUUAAACCAUACUAACAGGCCAACAAGCCACUAAAAGACCCAGUAAAACUGAUAAAUGAACCAAGUUACUCCAGGGAUAACAGCGCAAUCUUCUUCAAGAGCCCAUAUCAAAAAGAAGGUUUACGACCUCGAUGUUGGAUCAGGACAUCCUAAUGGUGCAGCCGCUAUUAAGGGUUCGUUUGUUCAACGAUUAACAGUCCUA
rnacentral:rRNA from 1 species